rnacentral:rRNA from 1 species
CCUACGGGAGGCAGCAGUGAGGAAUCUUGCGCAAUGGGGGAAACCCUGACGCAGCCACGCCGCGUGCCGGAAGACGGCCCUAUGGGUUGUAAACGGCUUUUGAAUGAGAAGAACCUACUGGUUUCGACCGGUACUGACGGUAUCAUUCGAAUAAGCACCGGCUAACUCCGUGCCAGCAGCCGCGGUAAUACGGAGGGUGCAAGCGUUGUCCGGAAUCAUUGGGUGUAAAGGGUGCGUAGGCGGGAGCCUAAGUCUGUGGUGAAAUCUUGCCGCUUAACGGUAAAAUGGCCUUGGAUAUUGGGCUUCUUGAGUACAGAAGAGGUCGGUGGAAUUUGUGGUGUAGCGGUGAAAUGCAUAGAUAUCAGGAAGAACAUCAGUGAAGAAGGCGGCCGGCUGGGCUGUAACUGACGCUGAGGCAAGAGAGCGUGGGGAGCGAACAGGAUUAGAUACCGUGGUACUCCACGCAAUAAACGAUGUAUGGUAGGUGUUGGCCCUUAGGGGUCAGUGGCGCAGUUAACGCAGUAAA